CUUGGUCAUUUAGAGGAAGUAAAAGUCGUAACAAGGUUUCCGUAGGUGAACCUGCGGAAGGAUCAUUAUCGAAUUCAAAAGGCUCGGGUUGUAGCUGGUCCCUUCGGGACAGGUGCUCACUUUUGCUCUUUCCAACACACCCCUGUGCACUCCCGCGUGGGUUGCGAUGGACUUUGUCCUCGUCACUCGCGUUUUUUAUACACCCUUUGUAUGUUUUCGGAAUGUCUCUUGCGUCGCACGCAUUUAAUACAACUUUCAACAACGGAUCUCUUGGCUCUCGCAUCGAUGAAGAACGCAGCGAAAUGCGAUAAGUAAUGUGAAUUGCAGAAUUCAGUGAAUCAUCGAAUCUUUGAACGCACCUUGCGCCCCUUGGUAUUCCGAGGGGCACACCUGUUUGAGUGUCGUGAAUUUCUCAACUUCCCUCCCUCCUUUGCGGGAGCGUGGGACUUGGACUUGGAGGUUUUUGCGGGCGUGCGUCCGCUCCUCUCAAAUGCAUUAGUGAAGCCCCUGGUGGGCCUCGGCGUGAUAAUUGUCUACGUCUAGGUUUCGUCCUACGCGGUUCUUCGCUUCCAACCGUCCUCGAGGGACAAUUCAUCGAAAC
rnacentral:rRNA from 1 species